GUUUGAACCACCCCCUUAAAAUUACCCAAUCUCCAUGAAACUGACCCAAAAUCAAAGUCACUCGGCGGACACACAUCAGGGGUUUCUCGGCGUCGAUUCGAGGUUGAAGAGGUUUUGGGUUUGUUUUGGGGCGAUUUGUUGAGGUUUUGGUCAAUGGAUGUUUUCGGUGCCUACGGUCGCAUGGGGAGAAGGCGCGCGCCGCCCCACCCCCACCCCACUUUAUUUGGGGCCUUUUGGGGUGUUUUUAGGAGUUAUCAUUACCCCGGCGCAAAACGGGUUCAGAAAGCGCGAUUUUGGGUCAUCCCCAGCGCAGAACAGACGUAAGAAAUGGGCUCAGAGCACGAAACGGGCUCAGAAAGAGAGAGAUUUUGGGUCAGUCACACGGCGCCAGCGCGAAGCGGGUUCAGAAAUGGGCGUUUUGGGGGUGAAGCUCGCGGCGAAACAGGCGCAGAAAGCAACAUUUUGGGUGCGUUGUGAGAGCGUCGCUGCUGCCCCAACACAGAAUGGGCUCAGAAAGCAGGGUAUGGGGCCGGCGUGA
rnacentral:lncRNA from 1 species